AAAUUUUUCAAAGGAACCAAACAGAUCCUAAAUGAUGAAGUGGAAAGGAUUUGCAUGGUUCUUGGCCGGGCAGAGCUGACCGAAGCAGUUUCGUUUUCUUGCUUUGAUCCGUACGUCCUUGUAGGUCCAGACAGAGUAAGCACCUGAUCCUCCAAUGAAAAUCUGUACUGCUGGAGACCUUGGAGUGUACUACUAAUCCUAGCUUUUUUUUUAUAUGGCCUUGUUUACUUUCAAAAAUUUUUGCAAAAUGUGAAUAGUAGCCCUUUCGUUUGUAUUUGACAAAUAUUGUCUAAUUAUAGACUAACUAGACUCAAAAGAUUCGUCUCGUCAAUUCCGACCAAACUGUGUAAUUAGUUUUUAUUUUCAUCUAUAUUUAAUACUCCAUGCAUACGUCUAAAGAUUCGAUGUGACGGGAAAAAGUUUUGCAAAAUUUUUGGGGAACUUGUUUACUUGCAAUUUUUUUUUUGAAUUCUGUUAUUGUAGUACUUUUGUUUUUAUUUUAAAACAUUGUCCAAUCAUAGAGUAACUAGGCUUAAAAGAUUUGUCUCGUGAUUUACAGACAAUCUAUAUAAUUAGUUUUUGUUUUCAUCUGUAUUUAAUGCUCCAUACAUGUGCCGUAAGAUUCGAUGUGACAGACAAUCUUGAAAAGUUUUUUAUUUCCAGUGGGAACUAAACAAGGCCUAUAUAUUUUAUUUAUUAGCUUAUGUGCCGAAUCUGUCAGUCAUUCAGCAGUGUUUUUUUCUCACAACAAAUCAACGAAUAUUACUUUCAGUCAUUACUUAUCAGCCAAGCGAACGUAGAUACUUUAUUAUAUCUUCAUCAGACGACAGCUCUAUCCAUCCAUCUUCUAACUGUUAGUAUUAUUCGUCCGUGUUAAGCUAGGCUGCGAGGCGUCGUCUAUACACUUUAAACCAAACAGAGUUUAAGUGCUGGCGUAUAUCCAAUAACCGGAACGGAGGGAGGAGAGGUGGCCAUGCGCAUCAAGCACUCCGAAACAAAAUCCAAACUCCAACUCAGAUCGUCAUGCACAAGAAACGCGGAAUUGAAAACGCAUCAGGCCUCGACUAGCUACUUGGCAUAUAAGGACUACUAUAUAUAUAUAUAUACUUCGUCCUUUCUGUCGUCACGUCUGUUCUUCUCAAUCGGCACAACCGGCUUGGAUUGGAUGAGCUAGUCCGGGGGUCCCUACCAACUGCCUGAUUGCUCACGUUUAUUUAUAAUAAAGAAAAAAAAUAAAAGGAGACUAAUUCAUCAUGCUCGUAUCGUCUCGUCUCAUGACGUGUUUAGUUAGAGAUGUUAAAGUUUAACGGAUACCGUA
rnacentral:lncRNA from 1 species